CAAAUGAGAGGCCCUCAUAUUUAUAUUAAUCCCUAAGGUCCUAAGAGUAAAUAAAUAUUGUUCUACAGGUCUCUAAGUAAUUACACUUUAGUACAUGUUCUAGAGAAUUCUACACUCUCUAGAAUAUGUCUAGCUCUUCCAAAGAGGCUCUAAAACGUUCUAGACAAUUCUAGGGAAUUCUCUAGUCUUCUCCAAGGAUCUAGAAGGGUCUAAAGUCUUAUACAAACCUCUUCAAGGAUCUAGGUCCUUUUGCCCCAUUCGGAGGAUGAAAAAUGGUCGAAAUUGUGGCGGGACACACACUACGCUCUGUAUACAUUAGCAUGGGAUAACAUUAUAGGAUUUAUGUCCUAUUAUGUUGGCCUUCAGGAUCAGAUUAAUGAUUAACAGGGACAGUCGAGGGCAUUCGUAUUUCAUAGUUAGAGGUGAAAUUCUUGGAUUUAUGAUAGACGGACAACUGCGAAAGCAUUUGCCAAGGAUGUUUUCAUUAAACAAGAACGAAAGUUGUGGGCUCGAAGACGAUCAUAUACUGUUCUAGUCUCAACCAUAAAUGAUGCUGACCAGGUAUCGAUGGAUGUUGCUUUUAGGACUCCACCGGCACCUUGUGAGAAAUCAAAUUUUUUUGGGUUCCGGGGGGAUUAUGGUCGCAAGGCUGAAACUUAGAGGAAUUGACGGAAGGGCACCACCAGGAGUGGAGCUUGCAAAUUAAAUUGACUCAAAACGGGGAAACUUACCAGGUCCAUACAUAGUAAGGAUUGACAGACUGAGAGCUCUUUCUUGAUUCUACGGGUGGUGGUGCAUGGCCGUUCUUAGUUGGUGGAGCGAUUUGUCUUGUUAAUUCUGUUAACGAAUGAGACCUCCACCUUCUAACUAGCUAUGCGGAGGUAUCCCUUCGCGGCCAGCUUCUUAGAGGGACUACAACCUUUUAGGCCGCAGAAAUUUGAGGCAAUAACAGGUCUGUAAUGCCCUUAGAUGUUAUGGGCCGCACGCGCGCUACACUGAUGUAUUCAACGAGCUUAUAACCUUGGCUGACAGGCCCGGGUAAUCUUUGAAAUUUCAUCAUGAUGGGGAUAGAUCAUUACAAUUGUUGGUCUUUAACGAGGAAUUUCUAGUAAGCGUGAGUCAUCAGCUUGCGUUGACUACGUCCCUGCCCUUUGUACACACUGCCCGCCGCUCCUACCUAUUGAAUGAUCCGGUGAAAUAUUCGGAUCGCGGUGACAUGGGUGGUUUUCUACCCAUGAUGAAGCGAGAAGUCUAUUGAACCUUAUCAUUUAGAGGAAGGAGAAGUCGUAACAAGGUUUCCGUAGGUGAACCUACAGAAGGAUCAUUG
rfam:Solanum lycopersicum cultivar Heinz 1706 chromosome 6, whole genome shotgun sequence.